rnacentral:rRNA from 1 species
UGGGGAAUAUUGGACAAUGCGGGAAACCGUGAUCCAGCAAUGCCGCGUGAGUGAUGAAGGCCUUAGGGUUGUAAAGCUCUUUUACCAGGGAUGAUAAUGACAGUACCUGGAGAAUAAGCUCCGGCUAACUCCGUGCCAGCAGCCGCGGUAAUACAGAGGGGGCAAGCGUUGUCCGGACUUACUGGGCGUAAAGCGCACGCAGGUGGUAACGCAAGUGGGGUGUGAAAGCCGCCAGCUCAACUGGCGGAGGCCAUCCCAAACUGCGUCACUUGAGGCCUGUAGAGGUAUGUGGAAUUGCCGGUGUAGUGGUGAAAUGCGUAGAGAUCGGCAGGAACACCCAGGGGGAAGCCAGCAUACUGGACAGGUCCUGACACUCAGGUGCGACAGCGUGGGGAGCGAACCGGAUUAGAUACCCGCGUAGUCC